rnacentral:rRNA from 1 species
AGUAAUGUAUGGGGAUCUGCCUGAUGGCGGGGGAUAACUACUGGAAACGGUAGCUAAUACCGCAUAAUGUCUGCGGACCAAAGCGGGGGGACCUCCGGGCCUCGCGCCAUCAGAUGAACCCAUAUGGGAUUAGCUUGUAGGUAAGGUAACGGCUUACCUAGGCGACGAUCCCUAGCUGGUCUGAGAGGAUGAUCAGCCACACUGGGACUGAGACACGGCCCAG